AUUGAACGCUGGCGGCAGGCCUAACACAUGCAAGUCGAGCGGAUGAGUGGAGCUUGCUCCAUGAUUCAGCGGCGGACGGGUGAGUAAUGCCUAGGAAUCUGCCUGGUAGUGGGGGACAACGUUUCGAAAGGAACGCUAAUACCGCAUACGUCCUACGGGAGAAAGUGGGGGAUCUUCGGACCUCACGCUAUCAGAUGAGCCUAGGUCGGAUUAGCUAGUUGGUGAGGUAAAGGCACACCAAGGCGACGAUCCGUAACUGGUCUGAGAGGAUGAUCAGUCACACUGGAACUGAGACACGGUCCAGACUCCUACGGGAGGCAUCAGUGGGGAAUAUUUGACAAUGGGCGAAAGCCUGAUCCAGCCAUGCCGCGUGUGUGAAGAAGGUCUUCGGAUUGUAAAGCACUUUAAGUUGGGAGGAAGGGCAGUAAGUUAAUACCUUGCUGUUUUGACGUUACCAACAGAAUAAGCACCGGCUAACUCUGUGCCAGCAGCCGCAGUAAAAC
rnacentral:rRNA from 1 species